UGCGUAGGCUGUUUCGUAAGUCGUGUGUGAAAGGCGCGGGCUCAACCCGCGGACGGCACAUGAUACUGCGAGACUAGAGUAAUGGAGGGGGAACCGGAAUUCUCGGUGUAGCAGUGAAAUGCGUAGAUAUCGAGAGGAACACUCGUGGCGAAGGCGGGUUCCUGGACAUUAACUGACGCUGAGGCACGAAGGCCAGGGGAGCAAAG
rnacentral:rRNA from 1 species